CUACGGGUCGCAGCAGUGGGGAAUAUUGGACAAUGGAGGAAACUCUGAUGCUGCAACGCCGCGUGGAGGAUGACACUUUUCGGAGCGUAAACUCCUUUUAUAUAGGAAGAAGAUGACGGUACUAUAUGAAUAAGCGCCGGCUAACUCCGUGCCAGCAGCCGCGGUAAUACGGAGGGCGCAAGCGUUACUCGGAAUCACUGGGCGUAAAGAGCGUGUAGGCGGAUUAAAAAGUCAGAAGUGAAAUCCUAUAGCUUAACUAUAGAACUGCUUCUGAAACUCUUAAUCUAGAAUAUGGGAGAGGUAGAUGGAAUUUCUGGUGUAGGGGUAAAAUCCGUAGAGAUCAGAAGGAAUACCGAUUGCGAAGGCGAUCUACUAGAACAUUAUUGACGCUGAGACGCGAAAGCGUGGGGAGCAAACAGGAUUAGAUACCCGUGUAGUC
rnacentral:rRNA from 1 species